ensembl:lncRNA
CUGGGAGUGGUCUUCUGGUGAGUUCAUUGUAACUCGGAUUUCGAAUGUCAAUAUCAGUUGUUGUUCAAGUAUUACAUGUAUGCAUUCCAGUUGAUUACAUUACAUUAAAUACAAUCAUAACUGCAUUGGUAUUAUUCUAGUACAGUUGCAGAAUUACAGUGGUUUUACACUAUUGUCAUUACUUUAUUGAUUACACAGUUUCAGAAUCAUGGCUGUAUUCUGGUGUACACUAUAUGCAUUUUUAUUAAUUUUAUGAACCGGGUCGUAUAUUUGUUUCUAAUAUCCUACAAUGUCUUCUCCAUCUUCUUUCUCUUCUUUCCUUCUUUUCGCCAUUUUUACCGCCUGUCUCUGUUGCAUUCUCACAAACCCAAACCUAACCAAGUAAACUCCUUUGAGCCAAUCGGAUGUCAGGAAAUACGAGGAUCAGUCCAAGUUGGGAGGGGCCGCUCGUAUCCCCCCCCCUCAAGAUUGGAAGUAUUGGUUUGGCCCGGUCUGAAACACACACAGACACACAGCUGCGUUCCGCGGCAGCUAAGCGGCCGGUCUACAGGCCGGUACGGUAGCGUUACGUAUCAUAUAAAAAUAACAAAAAAAAAAAAAAAACUUUUGACCAGCGGCCGUCAAAGUUCUUUGAUGGCUGCAAUGCACGUUGGAAUGGAGCGGUUGUCGAGAGUUAGCAGCCGUGGGACAGAGUACUUGGGCUUCAUGCCGGUCGCCGAAGGUGUUAGCCCGGAGCUAGCCGUUAGCCCGGAGCUAGCCCAAAUGCCAGCGUGACAUCUCUCUCUGACGUCAUUAAUUCCGCUCAAUGUAAUUCAAAUCUCUACUUAGUCUUUUUUUAUUAUCUAUAUUACUAUUAUUUAAUUUGUAGAUAUUAAUUAACGCCAAUCCCAGUUUUUACAGUGUACCGUAGUGGUUUUCUUCAGAUAACAGAGCAUUGUUGAUGAGACGGGUGAGGAAAGGAAGCUUUAGAACUACAGAUAUAAAGAAUAUAAAUGUGUAUAAAUGUGUCUGUGGGUCUACUGCACAAAAUUGUGUUGCUUAACACACUGUAUUUGAAUCUAUAUAAAUGAAUUUACAUCCUUUUAGGUCUUGUAAUGGGAAAAUGAUAUGUGACCCUUUUAAAUGCUUCGUUUGUAUAACCAGUUUAUUAGUUGCAUGUGCUUCGAUCACAAAGGCCCUGACAUAAGAACUGAUGUCUCCCUCUUGGAUUAGAUGUUUCC